UACGAAGGGGGCUAGCGUUGUUCGGAUUUACUGGGCGUAAAGCGCACGUAGGCGGAUCGUUAAGUCGGGGGUGAAAUCCUGGAGCUCAACUCCAGAACUGCCCUCGAUACUGGCGAUCUAGAGUCCGGAAGAGGUGAGUGGAACUCCUAGUGUAGAGGUGGAAUUCGUAGAUAUUAGGAAGAACACCGGUGGCGAAGGCGGCCCACUGGAUCGGUACUGACGCUGAGGUGCGAAAGCGUGGGGAGCAAACAGG
rnacentral:rRNA from 1 species